GGGGGCAACCCCUCGAGAGUGGCGAACGGGUGAGUAAUAUAUCGGAGCGUGCCCAGUCGUGGGGGAUAACGUAGCGAAAGUUACGCUAAUACCGCAUACGAUCUACGGAUGAAAGCGGGGGAUCGCAAGACCUCGCGCGAUUGGAGCGGCCGAUAUCAGAUUAGGUAGUUGGUGGGGUAAAGGCUCACCAAGCCAACGAUCUGUAGCUGGUCUGAGAGGACGACCAGCCACACUGGAACUGAGACACGGUCCAGACUCCUACGGGAGGCAGCAGUGGGGAAUUUUGGACAAUGGACGCAAGUCUGAUCCAGCCAUUCCGCGUGCAGGAUGAAGGCCCUCGGGUUGUAAACUGCUUUUGUACGGAACGAAAAGGUUUCUAUUAAUACUAGGAGCUCAUGACGGUACCGUAAGAAUAAGCACUGGCUAAUUACGUGCCAGCAGCCGCGGUAAUACGUAGGGUGCAAGCGUUAAUCGGAAUUACUGGGCGUAAAGCGUGCGCAGGCGGUUAUGUAAGACAGAGGUGAAAUCCCCGGGCUCAACCUGGGAACUGCCUUUGUGACUGCAUAGCUAGAGUACGGUAGAGGGGGAUGGAAUUCCGCGUGUAGCAGUGAAAUGCGUAGGUAUGCGGAGGAACACCGAUGGCGAAGGCAAUCCCCUGNACCUGUACUGACGCUCAUGCACGAAAGCGUGGGGGAGCAAACAGGAUUAGAUACCCUGNUAGUCCACGCCCUAAACGAUGUCAACUGGNUUGUUGGGUCUUCACUGACUCAGUAACGAAGCUAACGCGUGAAGUUGACCGCCUGGGGAGUANGNCCGCANGGUUGAAACUCAAAGGAAUUGACGGGG
rnacentral:rRNA from 1 species